AGAAUCAACGCUGGCGGCGUGCCUAACACAUGCAAGUCGCACGAGAAAGGGGAGCAAUCCCUGAGUACAGUGGCGCACGGGUGAGUAACACGUGAAUAAUCUACCUCCGAGUGGGGAAUAACUGAGAGAAAUCUUAGCUAAUACCGCAUAAUACCCACGGGUCAAAGCAGCAAUGCGCUUGGAGAGGAGUUCGCGGCAGAUUAGUUAGUUGGCGGGGUAAUGGCCCACCAAGACGAUGAUCUGUAUCCGGCCUGAGAGGGCGCACGGACACACUGGAACUGAAACACGGUCCAGACUCCUACGGGAGGCAGCAGUGGGGAAUUUGCGCAAUGGGGGAAACCCUGACGCAGCAACGCCGCGUGGAGGAUGAAGCCCCUUGGGGUGUAAACUCCUUUCGAUCGGGAAGAUAAUGACGGUACCGAUAUAAGAAGCCCGGCUAACUUCGCGCCAGCAGCCGC
rnacentral:rRNA from 1 species